UACAGGGGGUGCAAACGUUGCUCGGAAUCAUUGGGCGUAAAGCGUGCGCAGGCGGUUGCGUAAGACAGAUGUGAAAUCCCCGGGCUCAACCUGGGAACUGCAUUUGUGACUGCACAGCUGGAGUGCGGCAGAGGGGGAUGGAAUUCCGCGUGUAGCAGUGAAAUGCGUAGAUAUGCGGAGGAACACCGAUGGCGAAGGCAAUCCCCUGGGCCUGCACUGACGCUCAUGCACGAAAGCGUGGGGAGCAAACAGG
rnacentral:rRNA from 1 species